rnacentral:tRNA from 1 species
GGCGCCAUCGUCUAGUGGUUAGGACAUCAGGUUUUCAUCCUGAGAACUGGGGUUCGAUUCCCCAUGGCGCUGCCA